AUGACUCCGAAGAAAAAACUUUGUUGGGCGAGGUGGGCUAAGAAGGCUAGGAAAGAAAGUCAUAGGAAAGAGAGGCUGAAGCCCAUCUCAGUCAGUUCACUGGGCUACAGCCCGUGGUCUAUUGCAGAGCCUUAUCCGCCACGUCACGGCCUACCCAGUCAACGCCUAGGCUUGACUUUCCCCGCACCGCCAGCGCGCAGCGCGCCAUCCCGACCGCCCGAACCGCCACGCGUCGCGAUCCGACGGCCCUCCACCGCCGUGCGUGACGUAGCUCCAGGCGAGAGAGCAGAGUGGGGAGUGAGAUCAUCAGUUGGCAGUGCCAGCCGCGGAUUACGCAUCUCACGCGGCGCCGCCACACACCACACCGCGAUGGCCGAUCUCCACCUCCUCCACCCGCCGGAGCCCGACACCAACGGCGGCGCUGCCGCCGCCCCCGCCUCCGCCGCCGCGCUGCUGCUCCCCGGCGACCCCGCGGCCGAGGCGGCGGCCGCGGCCGCGGCGGACCCCCCCGCCCCGCCCUACUCCAAGCGCCGCCGCCGCCCCAGCGUCCGCCUCGGCGACAUUGGCGCGCAGGCCACGGCCUCCGACGCGCAGCUCCCGCGCCGCCACCGCAAGCCGUCGUCGCACCCGCGCCCGCCGCGCCGGUCCCACCCGGACGACGCCCUCGACCCCAACGCCCGCGCCCGCGGGCCCAAGCCCGGCCAGCGCCGCCCGCGCACGGCCUGGAUCCCGGCUCCCCACGGCGGCGCCGACGGCUACGAGGACGAGGAGGGCCACCACCACUACUACGACGACGCCGACCAGUCCGACUCCGCCGCCGCCGCCGCCAGGGCCGCUAGGGUUUCGGGCAGCCGCGAGGCCAGCGUCGAUGAGUCUGACGGCGUCGCCGACUGGGGCCUCCCCAACGGCGGCGCGGCCUGCUACGGCGGCGGCGGCGGCGUCAGGGCCUGGCUCGACGGGCUCGGCCUCUCCCGGUACGCCCCCGUGUUCGAGAUCCACGAGGUGGACGACGAGGUGCUCCCGCUGCUCACCCUGGAGGACCUCAAGGACAUGGGCAUCGGCGCCGUCGGCUCCAGGAGGAAGAUGUUCGCCGCCAUCCAGAAGCUCCGCAGCACCGACACCGUGUCCUGA
rnacentral:rRNA from 1 species